AUUGAACGCUGGCGGCAGGCCUAACACAUGCAAGUCGGACGGUAGCACAGAGGAGCUUGCUCCUUGGGUGACGAGUGGCGGACGGGUGAGUAAUGUCUGGGGAUCUGCCCGAUAGAGGGGGAUAACCACUGGAAACGGUGGCUAAUACCGCAUAACGUCGCAAGACCAACGAGGGGGACCUUGGGGCCUCACAAUAUCGGAAGAACCCAGAUGGGAUUAGCUAGUAGGCGGGGUAAUGGCCCACCUAGGCGACGAGCCCUAGCUGGUCUGAGAGGAUGACCAGCCACACUGGAACUGAGACACGGUCCAGACUCCUACGGGAGGCAGCAGUGGGGAAUAUUGCACAAUGGGCGCAAGCCUGAUGCAGCCAUGCCGCGUGUAUGAAGAAGGCCUUCGGGUUGUAAAGUACUUUCAGCGGGGAGGAAGGCGGUGAGGUUAAUAACCUCGCCGAUUGACGUUACCCGCAGAAGAAGCACCGGCUAACUCCGUGCCAGCCGCCGCGGUAA
rnacentral:rRNA from 1 species